rnacentral:rRNA from 1 species
GGGUUAGUAGGCUGGUCGUGCCACUGGUAUGUACUGGUCUUACUGACUUCUCCUUUCUGAAGAACUGUAAUGCCAUUAAUUUGGUGUUGCAGGGAAUCAGGACUGUUACUUUGAAAAAAUUAGAGUGUUCAAAGCAGGCGUAACCUUGCCAUUGAAUAUUACAGCAUGGGAUAAUAGAAU